rnacentral:rRNA from 1 species
GAUGAACGCUGGCGGCGUGCCUAAUACAUGCAAGUCGAGCGAAUGAUGAGGAGCUUGCUCCUCUGAUUUAGCGGCGGACGGGUGAGUAACACGUGGGUAACCUGCCUGUAAGAUGGGGAUAACUCCGGGAAACCGGGGCUAAUACCGAAUAAUAAAAGAGGAAGCAUUUCUUCUUAUUGAAAGUUGGUUUCGGCUAACACUUACAGAUGGGCCCGCGGCGCAUUAGCUAGUUGGUGAGGUAACGGCUCACCAAGGCGACGAUGCGUAGCCGACCUGAGAGGGUGAUCGGCCACACUGGGACUGAGACACGGCCCAGACUCCUACGGGAGGCAGCAGUAGGGAAUCUUCGACAAUGGGCGAAAGCCUGACCGAGCAGCGCCGCGUGAGCGAGGAAGGCCUUCGGGUCGUAAAGCUCUGUUGUCAGGGAAGAACAAGUACGAGAGUAACUGCUCGUACCUUGACGGUACCUGACCAGAAAGCCACGGCUAACUACGUGCCAGCCGCCGCGGUAAGAC